rnacentral:rRNA from 1 species
GUGGGGAAUUUUGGACAAUGGGCGCAAGCCUGAUCCAGCAAUGCCGCGUGCAGGAAGAAGGCCUUCGGGUUGUAAACCUCUGUCCUUGGUGACGAAACAAAUGACGGUAGCCAAGGAGGAAGCCCCGGCUAACUACGUGCCAGCAGCCGCGGUAAUACGUAGGGGGCGAGCGUUGUUCGGAAUUACUGGGCGUAAAGGGCGCGUAGGCGGUUCGACAAGUCAGAUGUGAAAGCCCUGGGCUUAACCCGGGAACUGCGUUUGAUACUGUCGUGCUUGAAUUCGGGAGAGGUGAGUGGAAUUCCCAGUGUAGAGGUGAGAUUCGUAGAUAUUGGGAAGAACACCGGUGGCGAAGGCGGCUCACUGGACCGACAUUGACGCUGAGGCGCGAAAGCGUGGGUAGCAAACAGGAUUAGAUACCCGAGUAGUCC